AAAAAAAUAGGGGAGGGCUAGGGCUAUAGCUCAGUGGUAGAGUGCCAGCCUCGCGUAUAUGAGGCACUGGGUUUGAUCCUCAGCACCACAUAAAAAUAAAUAAGUAUAUAGUGUCCACCUACAACUAAAAAAAAAAAUAGUUUUGAGGCUGAGAUUGUGGCUCAGCGGUAGAGCGCUCACUUAGCAUGGGCAGGACCCGGGUUCGAUCCUCAGCACCACACGAAAAUAAAGGCAUUGUGUUGUGUCCAUCUACACUUAAAAAAAUAAAUAUUUAAAAAGAAUAAUUUUUAAAAAACAGGGGAAUAACUGAAAGAAAAAGAACCCACAUUUGUCAAGACUCCAUUAUUUAGUUUAUGCUUUCUUAGCUUACCCGUAGAGUCUAGUUAUACCCGUGAAGGGAGAACCUCCUAAAAGGACAGUCUGGGAGGAGGAAAUAUUCCUAGGUUUAUCAAUUGAAGGAGUCAUGAUCAAAACUCUGAAGUCAUCAAAAAGAGAAUAUCAAAGCAAGGAACACAAAAAUCAAGCUCAGAGAAUAAAGUAAAAAACACUGCCCAUCACAGUUAUAGGAGUCUGAUAAUUAUAUAGGAAUGGGUUAGGGUUGGUAAGGAGAUAGUCAUGGUGAAAUGAAGUUUAAAUGAAGUUUAAAUGAGUGCUGGGCAAGCUUUAGAAAUGUGCCUGUAAUAUAGAAAUAAAGAAUAUACUUUGGCCAUAACAGCUACCAUAGUUUAUCAAUGAAUGAUGUAACAGUAUUUUACAUGUGACUAAUAAAGGGAAAACACUGUUAUAUGACACAUGAUUCACAGAUUGGGAAGAGAGGUGUUCAGAAUUGAUGAAAUUUAGUAUGUUAGAUUGGUAUCAUUAAUACUUAAAUUUUUUAAAAUGCUGACCUACUCAGACUCUUAUAUUGGAUAAGACAAAAAUGACAUUAGAGUACCUGCUCUCUUCUGUAAUGCACACCAUCCACGGAGUGGGGUAGAAUGGAAAGAGAGAGUGAGCAAGAGCACACCAGCCCAAAGAGCAUAGGCUUGGGUCAGGCAACCCUGAGAAAUUUCAUCUCCACCCUAACUUUGACAAUUCAACUUCUCUGAACAUGAAGUGCCUCAUCUAUUAAAUUUAGGUAAGAACUACUGUAUCAGCACUGUUCUGAACACUGCUAUAGCACUGUUUCAGGCACAACCCAACCUGAGGAUCUGUGAGGCUCUGAGAACUUGAGUGUUAUUUGUUCAAGUAAAUGAAGCAGUCAGACAGCAGUCUGUAUCUAGAGUUCAGACUUUUAACCACUAUUCACAAUAUCCCGUACAUAACUUAGUGCUUAGUACUUAGUAAGUUAGCAGCAUUUAGGGACUUAUUGAUAUUGUUAUCUAGUAUUAUUAAUUUUAUGAUUACAAUGUGAUCACUAUCAUUAGUGCCAUUAUCAUGGUAGUCACGUGACCCAGUGGCAUAAAUUUACCUCACCAACUACCUGAGAUUGGGGCUUCUAUUAGUUAAUAUAUUUGAGCCAUUGAACAUAAAGGAGAAUUCUAUAAAUAGGAAGGAUUUCCAGACUCAUCCUGAUUUCUUCUAAGUACAUUGACCCACCCUCCUGGGAUCCCUGAAUUUUUAUCUGAAGGCAAGGAGUCUUUAUGUAAGAUUGAACUUGUUCUGAAAGUUUGAGAGUAGUUCAAACCUUUUUUCAGAGUCAUAAAGCAUCCCCAAACUGAUGCUGAUCCUAGAGCACAUUCUUGAAGCUUUUAUUAUAGUUUUUCUUUUCUUUCUAAAUGACAACAAACUCCUUUUUGCUGGGUAAACUCUGAUUCAAAGAAUUAGAAAUUAGUAAAUUAAUGAAUCAGAAAUUAGUAAAUUAAUAAAACAGAAAUUAGUAAAUUAAUAAGUAUAUAUUUGACUGUCAUUGCGGCUAAAUGAACAUGAGGGUUAAAUGUUUUAGACAUUCAACUAUAGUUUGCUUAAAAUAUGAAAGAGAUGCCAAUUUU
rnacentral:lncRNA from 1 species